rnacentral:rRNA from 1 species
UCCAGACUCCUACGGGAGGCAGCAGUGGGGAAUAUUGGGCAAUGGGCGCAAGCCUGACCCAGCAACGCCGCGUGAAGGAAGAGGGCUUUCGGGUUGUAAACUUCUUUUAUCAGGGACGAAACAAAUGACGGUACCUGAUGAAUAAGCCACGGCUAACUACGUGCCAGCAGCCGCGGUAAUACGUAGGUGGCAAGCGUUAUCCGGAUUUACUGGGUGUAAAGGGCGUGUAGGCGGGACUGCAAGUCAGAUGUGAAACCCAGGGGCUCAACCCAUGGCCUGCAUUUGAAACUGUAGUUCUUGAGUGAUGGAGAGGCAGGCGGAAUUCCGUGUGUAGCGGUGAAAUGCGUAGAUAUACGGAGGAACACCAGUGGCGAAGGCGGCCUGCUGGACAUUAACUGACGCUGAGGCGCGAAAGCGUGGGGAGCAAACAGGAUUAGAUACCCGAGUA